rnacentral:rRNA from 1 species
AUGUUCUUACCCGGUGAUUAUCACGAACUUGACCAGGAGUUUCAAGUUCGUCAUUCUUCGUUAUUGUCUUCUCCGGUGGAUUUACCUCAAGCUUUCGGUGUUGAUCAUAUCUUUUCCUCGUUUCAAAUGCUAUCCCAUGCCGGUGCAUCUCAUAAUUGUUCACCUCUCUCUAUUAUCCGGAGUGCUCAAGAUAUCUUGGAAGAUUCGUGUUUCCAUUCUCAAUCCGUUCAAGUUAUUUUGAGGCUGUUAUCUCAUUCUAGUCAUUUAAUUCAACCGGUGCAAUCCCCCCUUUUCAAUCAAUCGUUCAAUGGUGUUUCUCUUGAGUGGGCCCUAACCCACAGGUCUUUUCCCAGGAUCUUACCUGACUCUUCCAAUUUUCCCGGAGCCAUUCCCAAAUUCAUUUCCAAGUUUGACAUAAGAAUGAUUUUCUCAUCAAUCAAAUGUUUCCUCCAAGAUCGCUUUCAAAAUAUUUUCAUCGUUGGUUCAUCAUUUCUAUUCUUCUUUGUUCCGAAGUGCCUCAGCAAUUUUGGGUGGUUCUCAUCAUCAUUCUCAACAUUUGAAGACCGAAGAAGAAGGAUUUCUCUUAAAUCUUGCUCCAUUCUCUUCAAGAUCCAUGGUUCUAGCUUGAUGCCAUCCUCUCAUAAUUGUUUUCGAUAG